rnacentral:rRNA from 1 species
GAUGAACGCUGGCGGCGUGCUUAACACAUGCAAGUCGAACGGAAAGGCCCCUUUGGGGGUACUCGAGUGGCGAACGGGUGAGUAACACGUGAGUAACCUGCCUUUACUUCCGGGUUACUUCAAGGAAACUGGGGCAAUUCCCGGUAGGAAUUCUUUCCUGCAGGGUGGGGGUUGGAAAGCUCCGGCGGUUUUGGAUGGACUCGCGGCUUAUCAGCUUGUUGGUGGGGUAGUGGCUUACCAAGGCUUUGACGGGUAGCCGGCCUGAGAGGGCGACCGGCCACAUUGGGACUGAGAUACGGCCCAGACUCCUACGGGAGGCAGCAGUGGGGAAUAUUGCACAAUGGGCGGAAGCCUGAUGCAGCAACGCCGCGUGCGGGAUGACGGCCUUCGGGUUGUAAACCGCUUUCAGCAGGGGCGAAGCUUGUGGUGACGGUACCUGCAGAAGAAGCACCGGCUAACUACGUG